rnacentral:tRNA from 4 species
GACAUUCUAACUAAACUAUUCCCUG